AAAAAUCUGUUAGCUAGAUCAUUGAAUUGCUACAAUUUCACAAAUUUUCAUUUUUCUAGCAAUUGGAAAUCGAAGCGUAGUUCAAUACCUAUUAUCUUUAAUUUACUAGUAUCUCUCGAUAUUUGUCAUUUACUUUACUUCAAUUAUUAUUCUGCGAUAUUAAGGCGAUGAUGAUACAAAUUUUUGCAAUAGGGAUAUAUUAUCAUCAUUAAUGUUUUUAAUGUAAAUCUUUACAUCUGCACUACCGAUUCGGCUUAUCUACUUGAGAGGUUUGUACAUUUUUGAUCCUUCAAUGAGGGAGCCCUCCUCAAGUCGCUAACAAUGUUUUUAAAGCAAAAUUAGUGCCAUUGAUGGCAUAGCGCAAACAUCUCUACUAAUAAAAUCGAAAAUUUUCAUUGCAUGAGCCCAUGUCCACUUCAUCUUUUUGUCGUUUGUGACUCUUUACUGCGUUUUGUAGAAUCGCUGUAUUUUUAACCAUAACUCCUAUAUUGUUUUUGACCAAAUCAUAGAAUGAGCUAGACGUGCUGAAAAGUUGUACUAAAUCUUAUAAUUGUUAUACUCUCGUUUUUCCCCGGAAACAGCCGAUUCUCCUUCCUUUCUCGAAAUGGACAUUUUCUUUUUAUUAAAUACUUUAGUGGACAUCCCGUUCAUCUUUGUUUGUAUGUUUCCCAAUUAAUAUCUAACUUUUUGGUCAACAGAGCAAUUGAUUUCCAGGUUUCACAGUCUUUUUCAUCAUUUC